GACGAACGCUGGCGGCGUGCUUAACACAUGCAAGUCGAACGCUGAAGCUCAGCUUUUGUUGGGUGGAUGAGUGGCGAACGGGUGAGUAACACGUGAGUAACCUGCCCCCUUCUUUGGGAUAACGCCCGGAAACGGGUGCUAAUACUGGAUAUUCACUGGUCUUCGCCUGGGGGUUGGUGGAAAGGGUUUUUCUGGUGGGGGAUGGGCUCGCGGCCUAUCAGCUUGUUGUUGGGGUGAUGGCCUACCAAGGCUUUGCCGGGUAGACGGCCUGGGCGGGUGACCGGUCACAUUGGGACGGAGAUACGGCCCAGACUCCUACGGGAGGGAGCAGUGGGGAAUAUUGGACAAUGGGUGAAAGACUGAUGCCGCGAGGCUGAGUGAGGGCUGGAGGUCGUAGGGUUGUGAACCUCUGUCGGUAAUGGUCAAGCCGCAACAAUGGUUGUGGUGAGGGUAGUGGGUAAAGAAGCGCCGGCUAACUACGUG
rnacentral:rRNA from 1 species